UUUUGGCCGUGUAUGGAUGGUGUUCAGCACCAAGGAUAGGAAUGUUUGGCUGUGAGUGGACGGUGUUCAGCACCAAGGACAGGCACGGUUGGAC
rnacentral:pre_miRNA from 1 species